UCGCCUCUUGCUUCAACACUAUAAGAGGUCCCGCCUGCCCUGUGACAAUGUUUAACGGCCGCGGUAUUUUGACCGUGCGAAGGUAGCGUAAUCACUUGUCUUUUAAAUGAAGACCCGUAUGAAAGGCACCACGAGAGUUUAACUGUCUCUAUUUUCUAAUCAAUGAAAUUGAUCUUCCCGUGCAGAAGCGGGUAUAACAACAUUAGACGAGAAGACCCUAUGGAGCUUCAAACACUUAAAUUAAUUAUCCAUAAUCCAUCCAUCCACGGACCUAAAAAUAACAUAAUACCCCUAAUUUAAUUGUUUUUGGUUGGGGUGACCAAGGGGAAAAAUCAAUCCCCCUUAUCGACUGAGUACUCAAAUACUUAAAAACUAGAAUGACAAUUCUAAUUAAUAAAAUAUUUAUCGAAAAACGACCCAGGACUAACCUGAUCAAUGAACCAAGUUACCCUAGGGAUAACAGCGCAAUCCUUUCCCAGAGUCCCUAUCGACGAAAGGGUUUACGACCUCGAUGUUGGAUCAGGACAUCCUAAUGGUGCAACCGCUAU
rnacentral:rRNA from 1 species